GCAGAGAAAGGGGAUCAGAGUGGUGCUUGGGAAGUGUGUGGGGCAAAUUUGUGGCAUGCCUGUCAGAAAGGCUGGCCUCCACUGCUUUAUACUGAUUCCAUUUUGAAAG